GCCCUGAGUACGUUAGCGGAAAUGGCUCCGAGAGGCUUUGACGCAUGUGUACCUUUUUAGUGGCGGUAUCUCGGCCGGGGAUUUUCGGGCUCCAGUGGAGGUGGCUAUGCUCACCCCAUCUCCCUUGAGAGGCACAGAAGGGGGUCAGGUUGGCCAUCCGCAGGCGUAGUUGCUAGGAAGGUUUGACAGAUGUCCGCCUGUUGAUUCAGACGUUCCCAGGAUUUGGAGCAAGAAGAGCAAGGAAGGCCAGGCGCGGUGGCUCACGUUUGUAAUCCCAGCACUUUGGGAGGCCGAGGCGGGCGGAUCACGAGGUCAGGAGUUCGAGACCAGCCUGGCCAGCAUGGUGAAACCCCGUCUCUACUAAAAAUACAAAAGAAAAUUAGCCGGGUGUGGUGGCACAUGCCUGUAGUCCCACCUACUUGGGAGGCUGAGGCAGGAGAAUUGUUUGACCUGGCAGGCGGAGGUUGCAGUGAGCCGAGAUUGCGCCACUGCACUCCAGUCUGGGCGACAGAGCGAGACUCUGUCUCAGAAAAAAAAAAGAGCAAGGAGGUGUUGAAAAUGGGUUUCCUGGCUGGGCGUGGUGGCUCACGCUUGUAAUCCCAGCACUUUGGGAAGCUGAGGUGGGCGGAUCACUUGAGGUCAGGAGUUUGAGACCAGCCUGGCCAACAUGGUGAAACACCGUCUCCACUAAAAAUAGAAAAAUUAACUGGGUGUGGUGGAGGGCGCCUGUAAUCCCAGCUAAUCAGGAAGCUGAGACAGGAGGAUCGCUUGAACCCAGGAGGCGGAGGUUGCAGUGAGCCGAGAUUGCUCCAUUGCACUCCAGCCUGGGCGAUAGAGUGAGACUCAGCCUCAAAAAAAAAAAAAAAAAAAAAUUCGCCAGGUGUGGUGGUGUGCGCCUAUAAUCCCAGCUACUCAGGAGGCAGAGGCACAAGAAUGGCUUGAAUCACUUGAACCUGGGAGGCAGAGGUUACAAUGAGCCGAGAUGGCACCACUGCACUCCAGCCUGGGCGACAGAGCGAGACUCCGACUUCCCAUCUUAAAAAAAAAAAAAAAAAAAAAAAAGAAGUGUAAAGAUGUGAUUAUGUGGCAGGGGGUAAGGGUUAAAAAGAAAACAAGAACAAGUUUUCCUCUGCUUAGCCAGCUUACUUCAAGGACAGUUAUAACACUGAAAAGUCGAGGCCAAAGGAAUGGGCUCCAGACAGCCUCCUCCGGAGCAAAGUUGAAAAGAAAAAUUCCUUUACUGUCUCUCCUUUUCUGAACCAUUAAAUAUGACUGUUUGCCAAUGGUUGUAUUUAGUAAGAUUUGUAGACUCUGUUUUUCUUUUGACACAGCUGCAAGGCCAACAGCUGUGCAAAGCCACAAGUUAUGCUAAGUCAGCAGUUAUGCUAUAGAUUACAUGACCUGUGACUGUAUCAUUAACUGCUUUUGUUUUGCUUCUGUAAGUUUGCCUAUAAAAACCACACUCAGUCUUUGUUCAAUGGUCAGCUUUUCAGAUACAAAUCCACUGAGCCGGUGUACAUCUAAAUAAAUCCUCCUGUUUCCCGUGUC
rnacentral:lncRNA from 10 species